rnacentral:rRNA from 1 species
GAUGAACGCUAGCGGCAGGCUUAAUACAUGCAAGUCGAGGGGUAACAUGGUAGCGAAUACUGAUGACGACCGGCAAACGGGUGCGGAACACGUACAGAACCUUCCUUUAAGCGGGGAUAGCCCAUAGAAUGUGGAUUAAUACCCCAUAGCAAUAUUUAAUGGCAUCAUUAGAUAUUUAAAGAUUUAUCACUUAAAGAUGGCUGUGCGGCUGAUUAGGUAGUUGGUGUGGGAACGGCCCACCAAGCCAGCGAUCAGUAACUGGUGUGAGAGCACGACCAGUCACACGGGCACUGAGACACGGG